GACGAACGCUGGCGGCGUGCUUAACACAUGCAAGUCGAACGGAAAGGCCCUGCUUGCCGGGUACUCGAGUGGCGAACGGGUGAGUAACACGUGGGUGAUCUGCCCUGCACUUCGGGAUAAGCCUGGGGAAAUGGGGCUAAUACCGGCUAGGGGCCAUUGGUAGAGAGAGGGGGGGAAAGGUGUUUCGGUGUAGGGUGAGCUCGCGGCUGAUUAGCUUGUUGGUGGGGUAAUGGCCUACCCAGGCGGCGAUGUGUAGCCAGUCUGAGAGGGUGGACGGCGACACUGGGACUGAGACACGGCCCAGACUCCUACGGGAGGCAGAAGUGGGGAAUUUUGGACGAUGGGCGAAAGCCUGAUCCAGCAAUGCCGCGUGUGUGAAGAAGGCCUUCGGGUUGUAAAGCACUUUUGUCCGGAAAGAAAUCCUUGGCCCUAAUACGGUCGGGGUAUGACGGUACCGGAAGAAUAAGCACCGGCUAACUACGUG
rnacentral:rRNA from 1 species